rnacentral:rRNA from 1 species
GUCUGUGGCCAUGCCACCCUGAAUAAGCCCGAUACCGUCUGAUCUCAGAAGCCAAGCAGGGUCGGGCCUCGUUAGUACUUGGAUGCAAGACCACCUAGGAAGACUGGGUGCUGUAAGCA